rfam:Candidatus Magasanikbacteria bacterium RIFCSPHIGHO2_02_FTLL_50_9b rifcsphigho2_02_scaffold_50729, whole genome shotgun sequence.
CCGUAACUAUAAACUUGACCGUUGUAGUUAUCAGGAUGGUAAAACGUCAAAAGCAAUUCGUGUUAAAUCUGGCUAUAUGCUGGAAACCCUGCGCAUAUCAUCGUACCGUAAGGUAACAAUCGGUGAUCGAUGCAGACAAUCAGCAGGAAAGAUCGGAAGUAAUUCCGAAAUCCUCAGAGACUAUACGCCAGAGCUCGUCCGUGAAAGCGGGGUGCGAGUAUGAUAUAGUCCGAUCUGCAUAGCGAUAUGCAG